GCUUACGGCCAUACCAACCUGGCUAUGCCCGAUCUCGUCUGCUCUCCGAAGCUAAGCAGGUUUGGGCCUGGUUAGUACUUGGAUGGGAGACCGCCUGGGAAUACCAGGUGCUGUAAGCU
ensembl:rRNA 5S_rRNA 5S ribosomal RNA